rnacentral:rRNA from 1 species
CCUACGGGAUGCAGCAGUGGGGAAUAUUGCACAAUGGGCGCAAGCCUGAUGCAGCCAUGCCGCGUGUAUGAAGAAGGCCCUAGGGUUGUAAAGUACUUUCAGUCGGGAGGAAGGCGUUGAUGCUAAUAUCAUCAACGAUUGACGUUACCGACAGAAGAAGCACCGGCUAACUCCGUGCCAGCAGCCGCGGUAAUACGGAGGGUGCAAGCGUUAAUCGGAAUUACUGGGCGUAAAGCGCACGCAGGCGGUCUGUCAAGUCGGAUGUGAAAUCCCCGGGCUCAACCUGGGAACUGCAUUCGAAACUGGCAGGCUAGAGUCUUGUAGAGGGGGGUAGAAUUCCAGGUGUAGCGGUGAAAUGCGUAGAGAUCUGGAGGAAUACCGGUGGCGAAGGCGGCCCCCUGGACAAAGACUGACGCUCAGGUGCGAAAGCGUGGGGAGCAAACAGGAUUAGAUACCCCAGUAGUC